UACGGGGGGGGCAAGCGUUGUUCGGAAUUACUGGGCGUAAAGGGCUCGUAGGCGGCCAACUAAGUCGGAUGUGAAAUCCCCAGGCUUAACCUGGGAACUGCAUCCGAUACUGGAUGGCUUGAAUCCGGGAGAGGGAUGCAGAAUUCCAGGUGUAGCGGUGAAAUGCGUAGAUAUCUGGAGGAACACCGGUGGCGAAGGCGGCAUCCUGGACCAAUUCUGACGCUGAGUGAGCGAAAGCCAGGGGAGCAAACGGG
rnacentral:rRNA from 1 species